rnacentral:tRNA from 1 species
GGGCGGAUGGCGGAAUUGGCAGACGCGCCGGACUUAGGAUCCGGUCCCGUAAGGGUUGGAGGUUCGAGUCCUCUUCCGCCCA